GCAUAAAUUUACAGGGAAUUUAGAAAAAAUAUAUUGUGCUCUAACGUGCCUGAGGGAUGUUUUAAAAUAAAUAAUCACUACUUUGGUUUUUACUCUAAAGUCUUAUGACGUCACUGUUGAUAUGGAUAAUGUCAUAGAUUGGGAAUGAGACAAUACAAUUUACAUUCUGGGGUGCUCAAUCUCAAAUGGUACAUGUGUGCCUAACGUGAAAGUGACGGUGUACACAUUUGAUAUACAAUCCUGAAAAGAAUUGAUAGUCCCACUUCCAUAACAACCUUAAAAAUCUCAGGGUUGACAUGAACGGAUUGGCAUUCUCUUUGCGUGGGCCUACUUUUACUUAAUUCAUUUUUCACCAUUGAAUCAGUUUAAAAAAAAUAAAAAACUUGGAUAUGGUGAUUCCGUGACGAGAAUUUUUUAUUUUUAAUUCAAAACAAUAUUGACGUUUUUGACAGUAAUGGUAAUAUCAGAUCAAGAGCUCUUGCUGCAGCUGAACCUUCUCGCGCUCUUUUCCCAUCAAGACCACAGUGAAUGUGCUCACUAGGCUGUGAAAUGAAAAUCAUCAAUGACGCCUCUCUCAGCAUCAAGGAAUAGUCCUCUGUGGCUCAUUCAUCGGCAUAUUGAAAACCAUAAAAUAUGACAAUGCAGCUAUUUCAUUCAGGGGGCCAUGGGUUCGCCAUAAUUGCAUUAAAGCAAUCGUGCUUUGUUCGCUCUCUCGGCAUAACCACCCCCCACCCCCUCCCAGACCCCCAACCCCUAAGGUGUGCAUUUUAGACACUGAUGCAUUAGUUCAUAUGAUGCUGUUAAUGAGAGAACCUUGGUCUCAACUGAGGUGACAUAGUGACCCAAAUUAACAAAAGUGGCGAGAGGUGAUGGAGGUGGUGUGUGUGGUCGUCUGUGUGUGUGUGUGUGCGCGCGCAUGUAUGUGUGUGUGUCAGCUAUAUCAGGGUUGCAUUCUUUAACAAUUUUGCUAUUCCCCAAAUGAUUGCUGGGUGUGUUAUCAGCUUGACUAGCAAAAAAAACAGCAACACUUUAAAUAGAUGCCUAGUAUCAAGGCCACCCUAAAAGCAGAUUCAACAGUGCCUCCACCCAAAAUAAUAAUAAUAAUGCGUACAUUUAGCCAUGUCAUAUGCAUUUCGCUCAGAAUAUCAGUAUCAAUAAUUUACUGUAUUCUCCAAACCAUGUGAGCAUUUGUUGAAUUUACAAGAUAUAGAAACAAAGAAACAAAGAUUAUCUUGUGGCACUUCUUGUAUGGAAGAGGUCUAGAGGUCUUUCAAACUAAUCCAAUUUAACCCCACAUGAGCAAGCACUAUUACAGGUAGUAAUCACUGAAAAUACAUUGCAUGGAGCAGCCUAGGAAAAACAUUAAGACACAUUAUUUGGGAAAACAAUUAAGCUGUUCUGAACGGGCAUAUGUUGCAGCUAGACACGAAAUAUCGACAUGGUAGACAGAGUCUUUACCAAUAUGUGGCCAUUGAGCUCAAAGUUUUUUUUUUUUUUUUUUUAUGAGAUCAUCCCCCCCCUAAUAAAGACCUCAGCCCUGAAAAGAUGCCUUGGAGCACUCUCUGCACUUGCGUAAACAAACACUGCCAAGCACUAGCCGCUUAUCCUCACAAAGGUCACGGGAAAGCUGGAGCCUAUCCCAGUUAGCUUUGGACAAAAGGCGGACGACACCCUGAAGUGGCCGCCAGUCCGUCACAGGGCAGAUAUCGACAGCAUCACUGAGCGGGAAUCGAUCCCACGCUGCCCGCACCAGAGCAUAUGAUGACAUCAAAGAAUGCAAAGGCCACCACAGUAUCACGCAGGAAAAGGUCAUGAGCAAGGUCCUGCUUUUAUCAAAGGAACUCAGCCUCCUGAGCAAGUGGAGGCACUUCCUCUCCAGAUCUUUUGUGUUAUCUGUCUGCUCCAGUUGUUUUAUGUGAAGACACAGCCACCUAAGUGAGUCUACUGUCUCAGUAUCAGAAGGCUGGAUGUUUGAACAUUUCAGCGCCACAAGAAUUUGACACACAAGAAUUAUUGAACUACACAAUAUUCAUACAUUAAAAAAAAAACAUAUAUACAUAUAAAACAGU